UACGGAGGAUCCAAGCGUUAUCCGGAUUUAUUGGGUUUAAAGGGUGCGUAGGCGGAACAUUAAGUCAGUGGUGAAAGCCUGAAGCUUAACUUCAGAAUUGCCAUUGAUACUGAUGUUCUUGAAUAUAGUUGAGGUGGGCGGAAUGUGUCAUGUAGCGGUGAAAUGCUUAGAUAUGACACAGAACACCGAUUGCGAAGGCAGCUCGCUAAACUAUUAUUGACGCUGAGGCACGAAAGCGUGGGGAUCAAACAGG
rnacentral:rRNA from 1 species